GGGCUGGUAGCUCAGUUGGUAGAGCACUGCACUGAAAAUGCAGGUGUCGGUGGUUCAAGUCCGCCCCAGCCCA
rnacentral:tRNA from 1 species